CACAUUUAUUGUGAAGUCAGCCAGGGAAAACAUUUUCUUUUCUGGUGUGAGUCAAAGUCAGCAAUACUGAGCUGGACAGACCUUUAGUGCAGUUUCCAUUUUUGUGACUUUAUGUUCCUGCUCAUUUUUAUACAGGAGUUUAGUGUGUUGACAUACCUACUGAUCAGUUUGUAAUUCAUAGAUGUGGCUCUCACCUGCUGACUGCUAUGCAUCUCAAGUAAGGCUUUCUUAGCUGCAUUGCCCCAUGUACGGGGAGUGGCCAUAAGCCAAGAUUAGCGAUUUAUCUUUUUUCUUGCUGGGCAUCUAGCUGCCCUGAUCUUUCUGCAAUUGUGUUUUUUCUCCACUGAAUUCACCCUGUGGGACUGGAGAAGUGUUUCCUUAAUUUGGCGCAAUUGGCAUUUAGCCCAGCUCCAACCAGCUGGAAGGUGAAGUUCUGGAGCAGAGUACUGAAGAACAGGAAGAGCUCCAUUCGCGCCAAGGCUUCCCCAACGCAUGCCCGCUUCCCUGGCAAAGAAAAAGAAGGCACAGCUAACCAGUAACCCAAAAAUCUACACAGUGUGCAGGAAACCUAGGACUCAGCUCCAUUAGUCAAAAAAAUAAGGUUUUGAAUAUGUUAUAAACAUGCAACACCAGAUGGUGGUGGAGAGCAAAAAUCCUUGUCUAUGCAAUUAAAUCAUAUAACAAUUUAA